rnacentral:rRNA from 1 species
CGUUUUAUUUUUAACUCUAUUUGUUGUAGAUAUUAUAAUUUUUUAGUUUAUUUUUAUAGUUAUUUUUUGUAAAAUAGUUUUAGAUUUUUUUUUUUUGGUUUGGUAAUAUCAAAAAUUGGUUUUUGGACCGGGUUUAGUCCCCAGGUAAUCAAAAUUUUUUAAUUCGGGGGUAAAGUUUGGUUUAACCCGAAAAAAUAUUGACUGACUUUGGAUUUUUCUUUGGAACAUGUGAUUUAUUGGAGAGCCCUCCCUUUUGGUAAAUUUUAUUGGCACAUGUAUGAUUGUUUAGCUUUUAUUUUGUUUUGUAAUGCUUUUUGUAUUGACAUUUAAAACAGAUAUAUAUUUGGCUUAUAAGUUUAUUUUUCAUGUGUUACUAUUAUAAAUUUUUUUUUGGAUUAAUUUUUUAUUUUUUUUUGAAAUUGGAAAAGAAAGUAAUUUUUUCUUAAUGUUUUGGUGAAUUUAAUAA